UUCCCCAUAGUUCACCGGAAGAACGCCGUGCUGCGGCAUUCUCCAAUCCCCUCCGUACUACGGGCCCGGGAAUGGAGGGGUUCAGCACGGGAUCCGGGUUCGAAUCCCGGUGGGGGAG
rnacentral:tRNA from 1 species